rnacentral:rRNA from 1 species
CUUGCUAAGUUUGAUGGCGACCGGCGCACGGGUGAGUAACACGUAUCCAACCUGCCGAUAACUCCGGAAUAGCCUUUCGAAAGAAAGAUUAAUACCGGAUGGCAUACGAAUAUCGCAUGAUAUUUUUAUUUAAAGAAUUUCGGUUAUCGAUGGGGAUGCGUUCCAUUAGUUUGUUGGCGGGGUAACGGCCCACCAAGACUACGAUGGAUAGGGGUUCUGAGAGGAAGGUCCCCCACAUUGGAACUGAGACACGGUCCAAACUCCUACGGGAGGCAGCAUG